GUUGAAAAUAUAGUUUAUUUUUUGUUACAGGCAAGUAUACAGUCAACAAAGAAUGCAAAAUAGCAUGUUACUGUUGUUGAUUCCAAUAAUGAUAUGAAGGAAACUAGCAUUACUGCCAUUUCUUCAAUCAACAAUUUUCAAUUUGACGGGUGGUGUAUUCAUACAUGGAAAGCUUUCAACAUAGGCCCAUUUUUAUAAAUUCUUACAUUUUAUGUUACGAGCCGUACCGGCUCAAGCGAAAAUAUCAAUCUCGUUGAGAUAACCGACGAUAAUAUAAAGUAUCUCUCUCACUUCUAGAUAUUAGUCAACUAUCUUUCUUGUGAUUAAUAGAUUAUAUAAACACCUAAAUAAACUUAUAGUUAAAAUUGAUAUCUAACACUUUGUCAUUAUGAAUGCAUUUUAUUUUCU
rnacentral:lncRNA from 1 species